UCUACAUCUGAUUACCUUCAUGUGGCAAGGACUAGUCUACUUACUAGCAGGGUGAUGAUAAGGGAAACUAAGGCUGAGAGGUGAUUUGAUGAAGGUCAUACAGCAAGUGGUAGAAGGAAGACUAGAGUCCAGGAUUUGCCUGGUAUCCUCUGCCUCCACCUCGGUUGCCCACUGAUCUCAUGUUUGGAGCCUGGCAUGGAUUCUGGCACACGGAAGUUACCCAGCCUGGUUAUCGCUGAUUGGAUGACAGAUAUAAACAUAUUGUUGAGCUUUAUUCUGAGACACAGUUCAGUUCUACUGAAGUCUUGUCUUCCUGAUUCGUUAGGAGGAACAGAGCCAUGCCUAGUCCAAGGCUAAUUAUUCCUCACUGCUAAGGUAAGAUGCUUCUGAGUACUCUGCCCAGUGCAGGAAUUUUUAGAUUUUCUGGUCUGGCUGGUAAAAACAAACACUAUUCCUGGCACUGUGUAGACACUGGGCAUUGUUCCCUCUAAUAGAAAACAAGAUAGACACAGUGUCUUCCCUCAUAGUCUAUUGGGAGUUAAAAUAAUUAAUGCUGAGUGAUGACAGAACUAUGGGAGUAUACUGGAGGAAAACUUAACUAUAUUAGAAAGAUGAGAGAAUUUUUUUUCAGAAAAAGUUAUGCCAAAAUGAAGUUAAAAUCUGAGUAGGUGCUAUUCAGAAAAAACAAAACAAAACAAAACAAAACAAAACAGGGAGAAGUGCAUUCCAGUAAAAGGAAACAACACACAUGAAUGUCUAAGACAAG